rnacentral:rRNA from 1 species
AUGGCCGCGUCCUCCCUGCUCCGCUCGCUCUCCCGCGUCUCGCGCCGCGGCUGCGCGCCCGCGUUCUACGGCCGCGGCCCGCUCUCGCCGCUCUCGACCGCCGCGGCUGCAGCGGCGUCCGACGCGGGGGAUGCUGCGGUGCUGCGGAGGGGGCUCGCGGGGCUGGGGCCGACGGCCAAGGGGGAGAAGCCGCGGGUGGUGGUGCUCGGGACGGGGUGGGCGGGGUCGCGCCUCAUGAAGGACCUCGACACCACCGGCUACGACGUCGUCUGCGUCUCCCCGCGCAACCACAUGGUCUUCACGCCGCUGCUCGCCUCCACCUGCGUCGGCACGCUCGAGUUCCGCUCCGUCGCCGAGCCGCUCGCGCGCAUCCAGCCCGCCGUCUCCACCUCCCCCGGCUCCUACUUCCUCCUCGCCCGCUGCACCGCCGUCGACCCCGACGCGCACACGAUUGAUUGCGAGACAGUCACUGAAGGUGAGAAAGAUACCUUGAAGCCGUGGAAAUUCAAGGUUUCGUAUGACAAGUUGGUCUUUGGAUGUGGAGCUGAGGCAUCGACUUUCGGUAUACGUGGUGUUACUGAACAUGCAACCUUUCUUCGGGAAGUUCAUGAUGCUCAAGAGAUCCGCAGGAAGCUCCUUCUGAAUCUGAUGCUGUCUGAUGUACCUGGCAUAUCAGAGGGCGAGAAGCGCAGACUAUUGCACUGUGUUGUUGUUGGAGGUGGUCCAACAGGGGUUGAAUUUAGCGGGGAACUUAGUGAUUUCAUCAUCAGAGAUGUGAAAGAACGUUACUCACAUGUGAAAGAUUAUGUCCAUGUGACCCUGAUUGAGGCAAAUGAGAUAUUGUCAUCCUUCGAUGUUCGCCUGAGGCAGUAUGCUAUAAACCAACUAGUUAAGUCAGGUGUUAGGCUUGUACGAGGAAUCGUGAAGGAUGUACAACCUGACAAAUUAAUCCUGGACAAUGGAGAGGAGGUUCCUUAUGGUUUGCUGGUAUGGUCUACUGGAGUUGGUGCUUCAUCAUUCGUCAAGUCAUUGCCAUUUCCUAAGUCACACGGAGGAAGGAUCGGUGUAGAUGAGUGGUUACGUGUUCCUUCUGUCCCAGAUGUAUUCGCUGUUGGUGAUUGCUGUGGUUUCCUUGAAAGCACCGGCAAGGAAGUUCUCCCAGCCUUAGCGCAGGUUGCCGAGCGGCAAGGCUUGUACCUUGCUCGCCUGCUCAACCGUGUGAUGAAGGCUGGAGGAGGGCACGCAAAUUCCCAGGUCGAAGCCGAUCUAGGUCCAAAGUUUGUGUAUAAGCAUCUAGGGAGUAUGGCAACCGUUGGAAGGUACAAAGCUCUGGUGGACCUGAGGCAAAGCAAGGACUCGAAGGGCAUAUCCAUCGCAGGAUUUGCAAGCUGGUUCAUCUGGCGCUCAGCAUACCUGACUCGUGUUGUCAGCUGGAGAAAUAGGCUCUAUGUGGCUAUCAACUGGCUGACCACGAUGAUAUUCGGCCGUGACAUAAGCCGUAUCUAG